UUUACAAAUCUCUCCAGAAUUGGCCUCUUACCGGUUAAAAGUGAGGCGGGUGUUGGUUGAAGGAAAGCUGAUUUUUUUUGACAAACUCAGCAUGAGAAUGAGAACAGAUGGGGGCUUUGAUGAAUUGGAUAUUGCUAAAUGUUGUCCUCCUGCAAAUCAGCUUGGUUUUCCCUAUUAGCAUAAGAAGCAGGAAAAAGGAUUUAAUUUCUCUAAACAUUUCCCCUUAAUGAUCUACCUCUCCAGCUUAGAGAUUUAUAUUGCUGCUUAUCAGCGAAGCAGCUGAAUUCCUUCCACAGAGAAUCGACUGCAAUUUUGAGUUGAUUUCUGGCACUUCUCCCUCCCUGGGAUGAGAACCGUGCUUAGGAGAGGUGGUUGCUGUUUUUAAAUGGUAUCAACUCAGGCCUUUUUGUGUGGUUUUAGGUUGAUUUAACUGAGUGAUAUUUUUUAUUAAGGUGGUUUUUUUUCUUUUCCCCCCAGUAUUUAAAAGGGUCAAGAGGAGGCACCAGCACAUUGUGGAGAUGCUGUAGGCUCUUUGCCCCCAUCUGGCAGCGCUGCUGGCUCUCCCACAUCCCUGAUGCCUCUUCCACGCGUAUUAGGUCCUGCCGCCUCUCCUUCUGCACGAGCCUGUCUCACCGUGUUGGAGUCACUGGAUAAAUGGAGACCAAAGCCAAGCUUCUGUGGCCAGCUGUCUGCUUAACCUCUGUACUGAUGGCACCAGCCAUGCAAUGGAGAAUUUGCCCUCAAGAAGUCUUCUCCCAACUGCCUGUUUUUUGCCCUCUGCCUUGCUCAAAGCAUCCUGGUGAGCAUCCUGCUGUCCCACAGAGGGAUGCUUCCCACUUUCUGAAGCCACGUGUUGAAACAAGCAGAUAUCCUCUUCAGCCAUCCCUGUUCAUCGCGGAGGGGCCAGAGCAGCCGGGCUGUGGGAAACGGCUGGAAACUGGGAAACCAUGUACAAUGGUUUGGGAAAAGGCAGUGAUUGGGUAA
rnacentral:lncRNA from 1 species